UUUACUUUUUUUUCCCUUUCACCGUCAUCCAUGAGAAGACACAGUGUUCCAUCCAGAGGAUGUAGCAUCAAGGCGUCAUCUUAAAAGCAGAGAAAAGACUCUUACUUGACACCAGAUGCCAGUGCAUUGAUCUUGGACUUCCCAGCCUCUAGAACUGUAAACAGCCCUGGGACAAAGAACAGACUACGGGUAUUGCCUUCUUAAUCAACAAUAAAGUAUUAGUUGGCUUCCAGGCAGACACCACUGACUUUCAAGAGAAAGGCACGGGAGUAAGGAAGUAAAGAAUUCAGGGCAAACGUCGAGCUUUCCUCUGGGCUCCAAUGUAAAAGAAGUGGAUAGCGGCUGACUAGUGUACAUAUUAUGUAUGCAGACUUUGAAGGAAUCCCCCUUGUUUUUAGCUGUUCUUCCAUUGCUCCUGGAGACUCUGAGCUCAGAGAUUUUCUAGGCUCUGAUGGGCAGAGUGGCUCGUUUCCUCCCUGAAGUUUCCUUCAUGCCACAUUCUGGAUUACAACCUCCUCCAAAGAGUGUCAUCUGUCAAUAUAAUGUCAUCUCUUGAUUUCUCUGUUUUCUUUUCUUCACUAUAAUAGGUAAUUCUAUGUUUUAGCAGAGCUAAAUACAUCGCCUUCAUCUUCAA
rnacentral:lncRNA from 1 species